rnacentral:rRNA from 1 species
GUCUACGGCCAUAUCACCCUGAACGCGCCCAAUCUCAUCUAAUCUCGGAAGCUAAGCAGGGUCGGGCCUGGUUAGUACUUGGAUGGGAGAAUAUACAAGUGCUAGCAC